rnacentral:lncRNA from 1 species
UGGGCGCAGUGACCUUCAUUGUGGAGCUCGGACUGUGUCCGUCCCCUGCUACAUGCGGAAGCAGGCAAGCGGCAUCAUGGGAAACUCCCAAGGAUUUUCUCGCACUCGACGAGAGGAUGUGGGACAAAGGGGGAAAUAAAUAAGAAGCUCCGGUGGGUCCUGGAAGGAAGAAAUCGAGCCCCUGGGGGUCAGGGGCAGGACAGCAGGCAGGACAAAAGAAAAGCUCGAACUGCGUAGGCCGGUUAAUUGCUGAAGAAGCUCAGUUUGGACAGCGCCGCACACACACAGACCCCUGACUGAUGAACCUGGCAUCCGUGGGGUGAAGGACCCAGGGACCUUUCAAUGACGUAACCCCACAGAGAGUCGGAACGUGAUGAAAAACCCCGAGACGCACACAGGGCCUCUACUGUCGUUGAAGCCACGGAGUCCCGCGGUUCAAAGACUCUCCAGCACACCUGCGAACAUCUCCUCUCCAGCCCGGCUAGGAGGCGCCCUACGGCUGCCGGCGCAACCCCAGCGCAGCCCCAACGCCCGCUCUAAUGAUGCACGCUGGAGCUGGGGCGCAGCUGUCCCCAGACACCCUCGAACCCGGUGUCUGCUCUGAUCAACGGCCAGCUCCGCGGUUCCCAGCUCCAUCGAGAUCCUGCCGUUUCACACUUCUGCUCCCUCUAAUUUUGCUGAAAUGAUUGUAGACGAUGAUACGCAUGUAGUGGACUGUUACUGUUAUGUUACAUCAUUCUACAGCACACAUGCGAUACCUCAACCGCCCGCAUGGCUUGGAGCUCCCUGUGGUUUGUUUAUGUAACUAGAUCAUUAUAUCAGCCAUAAAGUAGUGUCAGCAGCUUGUUAGAGUAUUAUUUACACAUUAUGGGUAAAUCAGGGUGUGAUUAUGAGCGCGGUGUGUAUUAUUUGCACCUCCUACGCUGUCCUUCAGAGUAACAUUAACCCACC